UCAAGUUAUUAAGGGUGCAGGGCGGAUGCCUUGGCACUAGGAGCCGAUGAAGGACGUGAUAAGCUGCGAUAAGCUUCGGGGAGUUGCACGUAAACUUUGAUCCGAAGAUUUCCGAAUGAGGAAACUCACUUAGAGUAAUGUCUAAGUAUCAUUAAGUGAAUACAUAGCUUAAUGAGGGGAACUCAGGGAACUGAAACAUCUAAGUACCUGAAGGAAGAGAAAGAAAUUCGAUUCCGUAAGUAGCGGCGAGCGAACGCGGAUUAGCCCAAACCAAUAAAGUUUUCUUUAUUGGGGUUGCGGACAUAUCAUAACGAAGAGGUAUCGUAAUUGAAGAGGUUUGGAAAGACCCACCACAGAAGGUAAUAGUCCUGUAUGUUAAACGAGAAGACUUUAGAUAUGAUCCAGAGUACCACGGGACACGUGAAACCCUGUGGGAAGCAGGAGGGACCACCCUCCAAGGCUAAAUACUACCUAGUGACCGAUAGCGUAUAGUACCGUGAGGGAAAGGUGAAAAGAACCCCGGGAGGGGAGUGAAAUAGAACCUGAAACCCUGCACUUACAAGCUGUGGAAGCACAUUUCUUGUGUGACCGCGUACUUUUUGUAGAACGGGCCAACGAGUUACGUUAAGUAGCAAGGUUAAGCACUUAAGGUGUGGAGCCGUAGCGAAAGCGAGUUUUAACUGAGCGUUCAGUUACUUGACGUAGACCCGAAACCGGGCGACCUACCCAUGAGCAGGAUGAAGCGAAAGUAAAAUUUCGUGGAGGUCCGAACCCACGAGCGUUGAAAAGCUCGGGGAUGACUUGUGGGUAGCGGUGAAAUUCCAAUCGAGCCCGGAGAUAGCUGGUUCUCCCCGAAAUAGCUUUAGGGCUAGCCUCAAGGUGAGAGAUACGGAGGUAGAGCACUGAAUGUCCUAGGGGGUAUUGCACCUACCGAAGACUAUCAAACUCCGAAUGCCGUCAUCUUAUACUUGGGAGUCAGACUGUGGGUGAUAAGAUUCAUAGUCGAAAGGGCAACAGCCCAGAUCGUCAGCUAAGGUCCCUAAAUGUAAGUUAAGUGGUAAAGGAUGUGGGAUUGCACAGACAACCAGGAUGUUGGCUUAGAAGCAGCCACUCAUUCAAAGAGUGCGUAAUAGCUCACUGGUCGAGUGAUCCUGCGCCGAAGAUUUCCGGGGCUAAAACUUACUACCGAAGCUACGGCAUCAGUAAUGAUGGGUAGGGGAGCUUCCCAUACGGGUUGAAGCAUGACCGUAAGGACAUGUGGACAGUAUGGGAGUGAGAAUGUUGGCAUGAGUAGCGAGAUGUGGGUGAGAAUCCCACAGGCCGUAAACCCAAGGUUUCCAGGGGAAGGUUCGUCCGCCCUGGGUUAGUCGGGACCUAAGCUGAGGCCGAAAGGCGUAGGUGAUGGACAACAGGUUGAUAUUCCUGUACUACCGAUAACCGUUUGAGAGAAGGGAUGACACAGUAGGAUAAGCUAAGCACACUGUUGGUUAUGUGUGCCCAAGCAUUGAGGCAGUCAAAGUAGGCAAAUCCGCUUUGAUAAUGCUGGGAUGUGAUGGGGAGCGAAAUUUAGUAGCGAAGUAGCUGAUUUCACACUGUCAAGAAAAGUCUCUAUCGAGGUUAAAGGUACCCGUACCGCAAACCGACACAGGUGGGUGAGGAGAGUAUCCUAAGGCCAGCGAGAGAACUGUUGUUAAGGAACUCGGCAAAAUGACCCCGUAACUUAGGGAUAAGGGGUGCCACCAUCAGGUGGCCGCAGAGAAUAGGCCCAAGCGACUGUUUACCAAAAACAUAGGUUUCUGCUAAGUCGCAAGACGAUGUAUAGGAGCUGACGCCUGCCCGGUGCUGGAAGGUUAAGGGGAUCUGUUAGAGCAAUCGAAGCAGUGAACUUAAGCCCCAGUAAACGGCGGCCGUAACUAUAACGGUCCUAAGGUAGCGAAAUUCCUUGUCGGGUAAGUUCCGACCCGCACGAAAGGCGUAACGAUUUGGGCACUGUCUCAACAACAGACUCGGUGAAAUUGUAAUUCCGGUGAAGAUGCCGGAUACCUGCGACAGGACGGAAAGACCCCAUGGAGCUUUACUGUAGCUUGACAUUGGGUCUUGGUACUACAUGUACAGGAUAGGUGGGAGGCUUUGAAACCAGGACGCCAGUUUUGGCGGAGCCAUCCUUGGGAUACCACCCUUGUAGUACUGGGACUCUAACCAUAGACCAUGAAUCUGGUCUUGGGACACUGUCAGGUGGGCAGUUUGACUGGGGCGGUCGCCUCCCAAAAGGUAACGGAGGCGCUCAAAGGUUCUCUCAGUACGGUCGGAAAUCGUACGUAGAGUGUAAAGGCAAAAGAGAGCUUGAUUGCAAGACAUACAGGUCGAGCAAGGAUGAAAAUCGGACUUAGUGAUCCGGUGGUUCUGCGUGGAAGGGCCAUCGCUCAACGGAUAAAAGCUACCCUGGGGAUAACAGGCUUAUCUCCCCCAAGAGUCCACAUCGACGGGGAGGUUUGGCACCUCGAUGUCGGCUCAUCACAUCCUGGGGCUGUAGUAGGUCCCAAGGGUUGGGCUGUUCGCCCAUUAAAGUGGUACGCGAGCUGGGUUCAGAACGUCGUGAGACAGUUCGGUCCCUAUCCGUCGCAGGCGUAGGAAAUUUGAGAAGACCUGUCCUUAGUACGAGAGGACCGGGAUGGACGUACCUCUGGUGUACCAGUUGUCCUGCCAAGGGCAUGGCUGGGUAGCUAUGUACGGAAUGGAUAAGCGCUGAAAGCAUCUAAGCGCGAAGCCAACUUCAAGAUAAGAUUUCCCACCGCAAGGGUAAGACCCCAGAAAGACUAUCUGGUUGAUAGGUCGAAGGUGUAAGUGCAGCAAUGUAUUUAGCUUAUCGAUACUAAUAGGUCGAGGACUUGACCAA
rnacentral:rRNA from 2 species